UUCUUGGUUGACUUUUUGAUUGUAUGGUUGCUCUGCUGCUCUGUACAGUUUUUGACUCGAAUUCAUAUAGUAAAUAAUAAAAAUAACAACAACUACAACAACAUUACGACGGAGAGAAAUAAUAUCACACAACAUAUUUUCAUAACAACUCAAUUGAAGCAGACGGAACAAUUGUAAAUCAAAUAAUAAAAGAGAAAAGUACCUUUUUGGGGGAACAGCAAAGUAAAAAUAUAGACACAAAUCCAACAACUGAAGUAAACAAACAAAAUCGAAGUCAUCGGUGAUUGGUGAUUAAAAAUUGGUAUAAAUAUCGAGAUAAAAACGUGAACUCCAAUCGAAAAGCGUUGCGUGCAAUCAGUGGAUAAGCAGAAAACAAAACUUCGAAACUGGAUAGACAAUUUCAUUAUCCCUAUAUUUAUAUUUAUAUAAAUAAUUUAUCAUCAAAAAUGAAUUGUGAUAACAAUAAUCUACAAACCACACAAAGUAUAGCUGAUUAUUUGGCUCAACUACUUAAGGACAGAAAGCAGCUUGCUGCUUUUCCAACAGUAUUCAAUCAUGUGGAACGUUUACUAGACGAAGAAAUCGCCAAAGUUAGAGCGUCGCUAUUCCAAAUAAAUGGCGUAAAAAAGGAACCAUUAAAGCUACCUGAACCAGAUGGAACUCCAGUUACUUUAAAUGAAAAAGUCUAUGUGCCAGUUAGAGAACACCCAGAUUUCAAUUUCGUCGGACGAAUUCUCGGCCCAAGAGGUAUGACAGCUAAACAGCUAGAACAAGAAACUGGCUGUAAAAUUAUGGUCAGAGGAAAAGGAUCAAUGCGAGACAAGAAAAAGGAGGACGCAAAUCGGGGAAAGCCAAAUUGGGAGCAUCUUUCUGACGAAUUACAUGUUCUAAUUACCGUUGAAGAUACAGAGAAUCGUGCACACAUGAAGCUUGAGCGUGCCGUUGAAGAAGUGAAGAAACUGUUGGUACCCCAAGCUGAAGGUGAAGACGAGCUCAAGAAAAGACAGUUAAUGGAGUUGGCUAUAAUUAAUGGUACUUACAGAGAUUCAAGUACGAAAAUAGCAGCUACAGAUUCCCACAUUUUGGCAUGUGAAGAAGAAUGGCGACGAUUGGCACAAUCAGCCGCCGAAUCGCGCUUGUUAUCCCCAGGAAUGCAGGGUUUAACAGCUCAACAAUUACGUUCACAAACAACACCUUUGGGAGCACCAUUAAUCUUAUCGCCACGCAUGUCGGUGCCCACAACUGCAGCCAGUCUCUUAUCCGCUUCAGCGCCACCAACAAUAGAACACCCAGGAUUGAUUUAUGCCACACCAUACGGCGACUACACAAACUACGCAGCUUUGACUGGAAAUCCUCUCUUAACGGAAUAUGCGGAUCAUAGCGGUGGGUUAUUUGCAAGAUAAACAAUUUUCUCAUACACACAAAAAAACACACUCUCUUACGCUCUCAAGAGUCCAAUCUACAUAGUGAAUUCUCUUAAUAAUUAAUUACUCUUAAUAAUCGUAACGAUUUUUGAACAGAAACAAAGUAGAAAAUUAAUAGUCCAUAGCCAGUUUUCUUCUAUCUUCAUACGAUGCAUUUGAACAAACAAAAACUCGCAACCAACACACAACAUCACACCAUUGAUGCAUAAAUGACACAGCAAAUUCGAUUGCUAACCAUUUCGUUUUCCAACAAAGUCAAACUCGAUCGCAAGCAAUAAUUUAUUGAACAAUGUUUCUUCAAAUUAGAUGUUAGCUAGGUAUACAUAGUGCAGUAGGCAUUAAGCAGAUUAUCAUUCGAUUUUCUCCCCUUGUUUUCCUUUUCAUUAUGUGUUUCGGUAUAUUUUCUCUGUACAAAUGAUGCCACCAUACCAUUUUGUUUGUUUCGCUAAACAAAAUUGUUUCUAAUUUGGGUUUGAACAAAAAUAAUAUGAAGUUUGCAUGUAUCAUGGUUUUCACACUGGUGCAGAAUUCAUUGAAAGUAAAAAGAAACCUAAAAGAACACUACGAGCCAAUCAUUUCGAUUUUGAAAACGUUUUGAAAAGAAGAGAAAAACUUUACAUGAUAUGCAUUAUGUUGCGGUCACCAUUUAAAUACCAUAGCUAAAAACAUGUUAUGCAUGACCUUUUUUGGAGUUUGAAAUUCGAGUGAGAAGGAACAAUGAAAAUAAAAAUAGAAAAAAAACACUCGCUUCAAUUGGUUUGGCCAUUGUUCGAUCUAAAAUACUCAAAUUGGCCUGAUUCGCAUCGUUUUCAAUCGCUUUUAUGUAUUAAAUUCCCCUUUUUCCGUUAAAACUUCCAAAUGUAGUUUAUUUGAUUUGGCUGAAGAGUAUUAUUUUAAACGCGUUUAAUUAAUUUAUAAUCAAUUGUUGUUUGGUGUGUCUCCAGCUAAAUAUAUCCAAUACUGAGCCCGCAACGACCCAUUUUUAAUAAUGAACUACGUAUUUCUGACUUGCAGCGCUUGAACAGCCAUUCAAACGAAUCGUACGGGUUUUUUAUUUUUCAAUGAUUUUUUUUCGGAAUUUUCUCAAACAAAAGCAAUAUCAUUCGUUCCCGAAACUCAUAACAAUUUUCUAAUACCGAAUCACACACACAUUCAACUAGCACACUAGCCAAUGGCUGUGUUUACUGCUGUGUUUUAUUCGUUUCAUGGAAUGGAAUCACAUUACGGGAGGCUCAGAAUGAUUUUCCGCUUUUGCAGUUUUGCUCACAGCGAAUUUCUGAAUGUUUGAUUUAUUUUUAAAUUGAUUUCCGAAGCCAAUUUUCAGGCUCACACAUGUUUCGUGUUUAAGACAGCAAUGGGAUUGGCAACCCGCACAUACAUCACUGUACUGUAUUCAAAUUCGAAAUUAUGACUCGAUCUGCAACUAAUAAUUUCCAUUUCAAAUGAAAUACACUCACUAAUUGAAAAUAGAAUAUGAAGAAAACAGAGUAGACGCCCAAAAUUUAUGAUACACAAUAUUCUCUCUCCCUCUCUUUUCUCACCCUCCACCCUCUGAAAAAUCCUACGGUUAAUUUGCUGUCGCUCAUCGUGUUCACUGUACUUCCUCUCUAAUACGUGCAAUGCAAUAGAAUAAAUAAAAGCAAAUACACUUUAUUCCUCUGUUCCUCAGAACUUUGAUGUAAACGUUCGCAAUAGAACCGAAAAAGAUUUUGCAUUUAUAAUAAGAUAGUUUGCUUUAUUUAUUCUAAAGCAUCACAAUUACUUUUGAUAUAUAAUUUUCCGUUUUUUUUCCCUGUUGGUUUGAAAAAAGCAGAAACACUUAACAAAACAUGUGUAUUUGGUUCGAUUCAUCUUUGGAAUAGAGGACUUUGCCCAACUAGCCAUCAGCCAAAUUGAUGGAAAUGUUUAACUUAAUUUAUCAUUCAUUCAUUCAUUUUAACCAUUUCUGUUCAAUCCGUACCAAAUCCACUUUUUCAUCAUAUUAUUUGCAUUUUAUUUAUUUGUUAUUUGUUUUUAUGUUUAUUUUUGUUUGUGUUUUUUUUUUAAAACGUGAUUUUUCUAAAUACAAUUUUUCCAGUUGGUCGUUACUUGCAUGCUGGUUCAGUGUUUUAGAAAAAUUAAGUCCCUGGCCUUCUUCUAAUUUUAUUUCAUAAAGUUGUAGUAUUAAUGAAAGUUUCCGUUUUUUUUAAAUGAAACUUUAAAACUAUAUGAAAUCGUAUAUUGUUAAAUAUAUUGUUGUUGUAGUAAAAUGGAAAGGUUAUCAUUUUGUAGCCAAAAGUAAUUGGAAAGUGAAAAGAAUGCAGUGAAAAUUCGGCAUGGCGAUUGGAAUUCCGACUCCUUUGACACAAUGGAACUGGACUAAAUGAAAAACGAAAAAAAAAAAAAAACAAACAAAAUCCAAUAAGAUACAGUUCGAACGUGUGAAAAUUUCGCACACAUACAUACACUCGAACACUCAUUACAACAAUUGACACAAAGUUACAUUAAAUAGUUACCAACAGCAUUCAAUGCAUAGCGAAUUCAGCCAAUUUCCGUUACGAGUAUUUCACUGGCAUUAUUUUAAAUGCAACAACAUUUAUAUAUAUAUAUAAAUAUACACAAAUAUGUAGUUUUUAUAUUGAAAAAGAUGUUUGUUCGUAAGAUUGUAUCGAAACCAUGGCCAUGAGCUUUCCAUCUUACGUAUACUCAGAACUUUUUAGUUGAUAUUUAUUGACACAAAUCAAUUUAUGAUAUUUGACACAUUCAGUGCAAAUCCAAUUUUCAAACAAAAAAAAAUGAUAAGAUCGAAUGCCAUGUGGUGAAAAGACAUCGGCUCACGGCCCGAAUCGAAACUAAAUACAGUGGAUACCGAUCGGUAAAGUGCUUACGAAUGAAAUCUUUUUUUUUGUGUGUGCUUGUAAUGAAUUUAUGUAGAUAAAUGACAAUGAUUUGAGAAAGAAAAAUAUGAAUUGUUGUUAUGAGUAGUAUGGAAAACCAUUUUCAACUUUGUUCUCCUUGAAUUUCACAUCCAACGCGGUUUCGCAAUCGCAUACAAUGGAUUGACUAAAUAACUCAUUAGAUAAUGAAAACCGAAUGUGAAAUUCAAGCUGCAAAUCGAUCAAUCUACAAUCAAUAUAUAUUUUUAUAUCGCAACAUUAUCACGUUUAAGUAUUUAUUAGAAGAUCAAUAGUUUUCGAUAUCGUUAUGAAUGUUUGUUUUUUUCGUGCAUUUUCCUAUCGCAGCGGCGUGUCAUUUGAAUCAUUUCUGUUUUCAUCGGAAAUGAAAAGGAAACAAGUGACGACGAGCUCAGCCACAACAACAGCAACACAAAUAAAAGCAGUCCGUCCACUAAACUAGUCACUUUCAGUUUGCGUUAAAAAAUAUUUAGAAAGAAAAAAAAAACACACAAUUUAUGAUUCUGUUUUCGACGUCACUCUCAUCCGAAAAUUAAAAUUUCGUCGGCCUAUCGUCGCUGUUCUGGAAUGAGAAAUGUGGUCGCGCCAUCGAAACCAUGUGCUCAAUAAAAAAAAACAACAUUUAUGAAUCACAUAUUCCGUUCACAUUGGGCAAACGUCAACCGUGAGCUAUUCAAUAUUUGGUUGUUCUCAACGCCUAUUCAUACGUUUUUUUUUUCUCAUUCCUCGACAUUCGUUGAAUGAAACGAACGUGCAAAUGUUCAUAGCAUUUGGCACGGGCGAAAGUGUACUGAUAUUUUUAAAAUUCGGAAUUGAAUUUUGUAUUAUGAUUAAUGAUUUCAUGUUGAGACUCAGUUUCAUUUACAAAAAUUUUCUUUAUGCACACCAUUCCUGUCACCCAUUGAAUACACACACCGUUUCGAUGAGAAAUAUUAUUUGAAUAUUGAGAGAUACGAUGGCGACGUCUAAAUGAAUUAUGUGUAACUACACCACGCAAACUGGUCACAUUAUCAGUGCCAUAAAUGUACGCCUGACAGUUCCUUAUUUAUGCCACAGCAUAUGAACGACUUAUGUUUUUGAACUUAUACUCACCAAUCGAAUGAAAAAUUAAUUUUAAGUAUUGGAACAUAACUGAUGCACGUAAAACUGCUGCCAGCCACACGUCUGUUCGGUUUUGGAGUCCGUUUAAUGAUUUCCGAAUUGAAACACACACAAUCACAUUAGAAUGUAAAUAGCUUUUAUCGUAAUUGUUGUUGUCGUUGUGGCUAUACGUAUUUUACAUUUUCCGAACCGAAUAUUUGCUGGACGCAAUUGCGUAUUGCGUAAAUGUUCAUUGAAAAUAUGGAAAUCAAUCAUGCUCGUCAUGAGACCGUCAAAAGGUUUAUUUACUUAAUAGUUCGGAGAUUUUUUUAGAUCGUACUCUCUCGUUUUAUUCGUAAUGUUAUGCAAACAAAACAAAAGUAUCAGAGAGUAAAUUCGAUAUAAUUUUUUUUAGUUAUUCUAUGAAUAUUGGCCGGUUGUUCAGGUACUCUGCACAGUGAAUCAAUUGAUGCAGAGUGUUCGGAUAGAUCGUCGCUUAAUUUACAUUGAUAUAAUACUUUUUUUUUACAUAUACACAAAACAAUUUUUUUAUUAAAAUUAUAUAUUAUUUUUCAUAAUUAGUAGGAGCAAUUAAGCAACAAAGGCGCUUGCCAACCAGAGAACAUCCCUAUCAGAGAGCUGGGACUCUCUCUUAAACAAAAGCCAAGCAAUGCAUUGCUAAAGCAAAAAAAAAACCAUAAAAUGCAUAAUGCGAAAUGUUUCAAAUUCAUCCAAGAGUCACUUUUGUUGUUCUGUGUGUACUUUUGUUGUUGUUCAGAGAGCCAAAACAAAGAAAACGUUAACUUGAAAUAAUCACAAGAACAAUGCUAUGUGACGUGCUAACCCCUCAACAAAAACAAAUAAAACAUAUGAAAUUAUCACCAUCUUCACCUGUGCAACUAUUACUACUACUAUUUUUUUUUAUUAUGAUUAUGAUUAUUAUAGGAUUAUUAUAUGAUUACUAUUAAUCUAGCUGCUAUUUUCCGGUAUACUUGUGCGUGUAUCUUUGCAUAAAAGAGUUCAAUUUGCUGAACAACAUAAACAUGGGCAGUAUUAAGUGUUCUUUUGGCAAUGAUAUCUGCAUGACCAGCCCCGAAAAUAGUUGACUUAUUAUAUACAUAUUUACAUAUACAUAUAUUAAUUAUUUUUUUUUAACAACUACUACUUCUCUAUCGAAAUAAUAGAUUUAAAAAAAAAAACAUUGAUGUGAAUUCAAUUAAAUAUGAAAAAUGUUUAAUAUGUCAAACGGAUGCAUAUGAAGAAGAUACAAGCCAAGAAAAAGAGAAAUAGCAAAAAACAAAAUCGAAAAAGUUUAAAAAAAAAAAUUAAUUAAUAACGAACGUCAUUGUAAUAUUCGGUGAGUGCCACUAAAAAAAUAUCCACACUCAUCUAGUGCGUGAGACGCAUGCGGAUGGGAUGAAGCAAAGCGAAAGGGAAGCGCGCAACUAGAACAUAGAGUCAAUACAUAGGGUACUACGUGUUUGUGUUUGUGUCCGUAUUCUAACGACGGAGUGACGAAAUGUAUACGCGCUAUAUCGUUCGUUCGUAUGGAGUUGCCUGCUUCUUUCGCUUUGCUUCAUCUCAUCCGCGUACGUCUCACGCACUAGAUGAGUGUGGAUAUUUUUUUAGUGGCACUCACCGAAUAUUACAAUGUAUGAUUAAUAAUGAUUUACAUGAAAAAUGUCAUUUCACAGAAGUAAGAACGUUUCAUAUCAAUCCUUUUUAUGCUCGAAAUAAUCAGAUCAAUUUUUUUUAAUUUUCAAAUUUUAUGCACAACUUAUAUUGUUAAACAAAGAGAUAAAAGCAAACAAAAAUCAUUAGAAGUGAGAUUGCAUGUGUCAUUUGCCAUGCGGGAUGAUGAUUAAGAUCAUUGUUUUAAUUAGUUUAAUUUUACACAAAUUCGUGGGCCAAUUUAGUUUAUUGGGACAAGUGCAAAUUCAUCUGUAUUUCUUUUUCUCUCCCUCGAAUGUUUGAAUUAUUUGAACGUUGGCAAAUUCAUUCAUAUAUAUUACUAUGUAUAAGGGCCAAACGAAGAAACAUAUCAUAUUGGGUUAACAAUUGAUUAAUGCGAAAAUGAAGGUCCAAAAUGUAUUUUAGCGUGAAUAUUUAGAGAGUUUUACCAAGGAAUCUCGAUUGUAGUCUCUUUUAUUUAACGAUAUAAAAAAAAAAACGAAAAUAUACGCACAAAACGAAAGUAACGAUUCAAAAGAUCUUGUCCGAGAGUUUCUUCGAAUUUUCUCGCUAAACAUGUGUACUUGGGCCAUAUCAUCAUAGACACCACACAUAGCUUACGUAUCACAUUUAUGGACUGCAUUAGCGUACGGUAUUCACAUACAUCAGCAGCAUCAGCGACAGUAAAAACAAUUAUCACUCAUUAAACGCUCACUUACAACAUUCACUAAGCAAAUUUAUCCCGAAUAUUGUCAAUACCAUUUACGAUAAAUUGAAUUUCCCUUUGUUUACAUUGGAUGCACAACAUCUUGAGCAAUCGCUCAACAAUGCAAAAGGAAAUUAAAUUGACUUGGCACUAAAAUAAAACAAAAAAUUCGAAUAAUUCUGCCAAAUGAUUAAUUAUUGUUACUCAAAAAUCAAACGCCCAAUCGGAAAUGUUAGUGAAGUAAAAUUAGUUUUAUUGCCUUCUUCACAUUUAUUCGUAGUUGUAUUCAUUCGCUUUUGAGAUUUAUCUCUGUUGGAAUGUUCGAUCAAUUGUGACAAUAAUCACAAGUAAAACAAACGAUAUAUUUUACACAGGUACCAUUUGCCAUUUCACAAGUGGAUUAUUACGUCCAAACAAAAAACCGAGAGAAACAUACAUUUUACCCAAUAUACGAUUUCAGUUUUAUUUUGGUUGACAAAAUGGCAAUAAAAUGCUCCAAGUGCAUAACACAGAGUUAAAUGUUGAACAGUUGAGUUCAAUCGAGCAAUAUUAAAGCAACACUAGGAUCUAGGAAAAUUCGUUUAUAACCAUUUAUAGAAAAUUGACCUUGCGAAAAAAAAAUCGAAUAUAUUGUAUACAAAUGAGAAAAAAAAAAUCAAAUUUUAUUUACCUAAUUUAGAAUGAAUUGACAAUAUUUUCUUCACAAAUCAAAACUAUAUUAGCGCUAGUUCCCACUUCCUAAUUGUUUAUUUUUCAAAGAAUUUAUUUUUUAUCAAAUUAUAACUAUAUCAUUAUUGUACACUAGAGUGUUUCAUAACGUGAAAAAGAGAAAUGGCAAAUUUUAAAUUAAGGAGGAAAAAAUUCCGUAUCAAUUAGCGGUGUUCAUACAACAUAACGAAUGAUAUUCACACUUCGCGAAGCAAAAAGAACUGUCGUAAAAUCGAUUGUUGAAUGCCAAUAGUUAUGCAGUGAUAUGAAUGCAUAAAUGAAUACUUACAAUGAAAAAUCACUCCAAUGUACUCUACCUAUAUCUAUAUAGACUAUAGAAUAUAGAUAACCAUCGAUAUCUAGUAUCGAUGAUGCCUGGGAGACUAAGACCUCAACUAACUGCAAAUAACAUACUGUUGGAUAAUUUUUUUGAAAAAUAAAACAUAAAUUGUGGCUCUAUUGAUAUUGAUGAUUGUUGAAGUUGACUGGAAACCAAGGAGUUGUUACACGAGUGAUGGCAUCAUGCAGCUGAUGUCCAAAGAAUUCGCGAUGUCCAGCAAAGAGAAAAAACACACACACACACAUACACAUUACUAUUGCUUCAGUUUUAAUUCAAUGAAUAGCAUACCUCUGUACAAGAUCAAUUUUGCAGCCGAAGUGUCACGUUGCCAAACAGUACUGGAGAUUCGUCAACAGGGUCUUUGGGCACAAAUUCAUCUGUGUAAUCGAUGGAUACCUCCGCCGUGAUUGAUAACGCCUCUGCGCUUUUCAACAUUGUCAUCCAUACCGUUUGUAGCGUAUUGUUGCCAGGUUUUACGGUAGCAAAUCAUCUUAGACACAAAACCACGGGAUUGAUUUGGAUUUUGCCCAGCUGGUCGCAUUUCUCUUCGAUCCAAUCAUAACUUCCCAUUGCUCUUUGCCACCACAAUUUUCUCUGGUAGCUUCAUUCCAUCAGUCCAAUCAUCUUGAUCGGUCAUACACCAUUCACACACCUUGACACGAUCGUUCAACGUACUCAAUGGAAACGGUGUGAAUCGAAUCUAGCACACAAUCUUGAUGAUCUGGCUUCGUUCACAAAUCGUAUUGCAUUGCUUUCCAUUUUCUUGGAACUCUUCACCAAUUUCCGCGCCGCUCGGAAUCUUAAUCGAUGAAUUUGCAGCUGAUUGGGCAGCUCCAAUGUUAAUGAUGCAUCGUUUGCGAUUUGUCGAUUGAGCAACAACAAAAACAUUUAAUUUUUUCCAAAGAAACAAAAAUUCAAUUGCAAAUUCCUACCACCGACCGAUUGGACUCGAUGUAAUGAUCGAAACUUAAACGUGUGUACUUUUCAGUUGUGUACACUGCAAUAAUUGCUUCCUUUUAGUGAUGGCAUUCGAUCAUAUCCCGUUCGGUCAUUCCAUCGCUCUGCCCUAUCCCUACGCAUUCCUUCUUUGGUCCCAUAAUGAUACUUAGAAGUAGUAAAAUGUUUAUUUAUACAGUUCGUUCGGCACAGAGUAGUUGGAAUUGUUGUCAUUUCAAACGUUUGAAUUUUACAGAUGCUGAGUAGCGUUCCGAAAACAUCUAUUCAAAUUAGACAGUCUUUUUUGUUUCGGGAAGUGUGAAUAUCGAUUGCUCCGUUGUAUGAACACAAUUGAUGCAGAAUUCUUUUCUCUUUAAUUUAAAAUCUACCAUUUCUCUUGUCCAGGUGAUGAAAAAUAUCAUUAUUGUACACACACACACAUCAUAUAUGCAGUGCCUUCGGAAAAGAUGAAUAACAAUUGAGAACAGAAAAUCAAAUAGCGAAAAUAUUUAUUUUCAUCUUCCGUUCAUUUUUUAUACACAUAAGAAAUGUAUUAAUUUUAAAUAGAUAUUCCUUUUUUUUGUUUUAUCUGUGCAUUUUGUUUUCGUGUGUAAGCGUAUGCGUGUGCUAAAUUAUCAACUAGAUUUUUUUUUAGAAAAUUAGUUAUCAACAAUUAGUUAUUAGGUUUUAAAGUUAUAUAUAUAUAUGUUCACUCAAAGCAGAAUCGUUUGGAGAGCAAACUUAUUUUGCCACUUAAAUUAUACUCGAUUUUUUUUCUCCAUUUUGCAAACAGAAUAGAAAUUAUCAGCUUUUGUUCGCUUGUCAAAUGAUGAUGAUGAUCUUAUACUUAUCAUGAUAGUAAAAUGAUGCAUUAAAAUUAAUUUGAAAAUGUCCAGUUUUGCUUAACGUUUCAAUACAUCUACGAUCAUUAUUGGAUUACAUUACAGAAUUCAUAUUAAGUGAAUUGAGGAUUUUAUGUGGAGGAUAAUUUGUGCACAGUGCACACACACACAAAAAUGGCGAAUGAUUUAAAAUUUUGUUGACAUACGUUUGUAUAUGCAGUAAAAUUCAAAGUCACUUUCUAUUGGAGCGCGCCCGCAAAUCAGUCUUUUCAUCAACUCCUCAAUUGUUGCGUUAUUCGUUGAACAUUGCUUAAAUUGAAUGAAAACGACUAUUACCACGUUUUCAUUUCGUUUUUUGCAAGUGUGUAUCCGAUAUUUUGGCAUAAAAUACUUGAACUCUUAAGAUUUUUUUAAACUUAAGAUUUCUUGGUCUGCAAGUGCAAUCAAUAAGCAUGAAAUGGACAAAAAAAAGGUCAUUCAAUUCGAAUGUCAACUAAACGCCGCCGCAGUAAAUAUGGAUGUAAUUGAUUUUUUAUACGCACAGA